UAAGAGGAGUGUUCGCCUUGUUGCACUCCAAAAUGCAGCAAAAGAAAAUAACAAGAAGAAUAAGAAGAACAAGAAAAAGAAGAAUAAGUAGUAUUAGUUGUAAUAACAGCAAAAGUAGUAGUAGCAGCAGUAGUAGUGGUAGUAUUAGUAACAGUAGCACUAAUAGCAAUAGUAGCAAUAUUAGUAGUAACAGUAGCAGCAAUAAUAGUAGUUGUGGUAGUAGUUGUAGCAGUAGUAGCAAUAUUAGCAAUAUUAGCAGUAGUAGCAGUAGCAUCAGUAGUAGUAGUAGAGUGUAGCAGUAAUAGCAGCUGUACUAAAAGU
rnacentral:lncRNA from 1 species